rnacentral:rRNA from 1 species
GAUGAACGCUAGCGACAGGCUUAACACAUGCAAGUCGAGGGGCAGCAUAGAAGUAGCAAUACUUUGGUGGCGACCGGCGCACGGGUGAGUAACGCGUAUGCAACCUACCUAUCAGAGGGGAAUAACCCGGCGAAAGUCGGACUAAUACCGCAUAAAACAGGGGCACCGCAUGGUGAUAUUUGUUAAAGAAAUUCGCUGAUAGAUGGGCAUGCGUUCCAUUAGGUAGUUGGUGAGGUAACGGCUCACCAAGCCGACGAUGGAUAGGGGAACUGAGAGGUUGGUCCCCCGCACUGGUACUGAGACACGGACCAGACUCCUACGGGAGGCAGCAGUGAGGAAUAUUGGUCAAUGGGCGGGAGCCUGAACCAGCCAAGUCGCGUGAAGGAAGAAGGAUCUAUGGUUCGUAAACUUCUUUUGCAGGGGAAUAAAGUGCAGGACGUGUCCUGUUUUGUAUGUACCCUGAGAAUAAGGAUCGGCUAACUCCGUGCCAGCCGCCGCUGUAAGAC